AUGUUUGUCAGUACUCACUGUUUUCUUGUCCCUUAUCUUUACAGAAUAUGGAUAUGCUACACUGAUAUAGUACAUCUUAGAUCAGUACAAUCCUUUCUUUUCUUUUCCUACUUAACCAAUUAUUAUAGAUCCAGGCUGCAUCAUACCGUUGGAGAAAACUCAGUGCAGACUGGGGGUACCAGGCACUUACGAUUUGCUGUGACAAAUAAAAGCUACAUGCAGAGGAUCCCAUCCUGUUGAGGUGUACAACUUAUUCUACCAGCUUUUUUUUUUUUUAAUUUUUUUUUCAACGUUUAUUUAUUUUUUUGGGACAGAGAGAGACAGAGCAUGAACGGGGGAGGGGCAGAGAGAGAGGGAGACACAGAAUCAGAAACAGGCUCCAGGCUCUGAGCCAUCAGCCCAGAGCCUGACGCGGGCUCGAACUCCCGGACUGUGAGAUCGUGACCUGGCUGAAGUCGGACGCUUAACUGACUGCACCACCCAGGCGCCCCUACCAGCUUUAAAUAAAGUGUGAUUAUUUUAGAUAUACUUCUAGAGU
rnacentral:lncRNA from 1 species